GCUCCAUUGGAGCCAGAAUUUUGUGUGUAGGACUGCACUUGGAUAAUUGGUGUUUUAAAAACUUCACUUCUAAGGAUGCCACCCGUCUGUCCAAAGGAUACAUAUAGUGACCCAACGAUAAACUGUGGCCACUGCAGCACUAUCUGUGAUGAAGCCGAGGCUAGAAAUAAUGUAGCAUAUUGUGUUGAGAAAUGUGAAGAUUAUUACAAACGGAUACACGCCACUACAUUGGCUCCACAAGAGAGUUCGAACAGUGAUGGUAAUAGUUUAAAGAUUUGGUUACCGAUAGCUAUUAGUUUACUAGCAAUCGUUUGUUUAAUAGUUGGUUUGAUUGUAUGUUUUUACCGUUGGAGGAAGAAAAAAAAAGAAGAGAUGUCAUUAACCAAACCUAUAGAGGAGACCGAACAGCCGUUUAUAGAUUUCAAACAACCUGGCCCACAGUCAGUAGAACCAACUUGCCCUAACACAGGUCUACCAACACUGCAUCUAAGAUAUACACCGAAAUUUGACGUUAACUCUGAAAUAUAUAUAUUUAUAAAUGUAAAAUAACUGAAGAAUAUAUUUGAUAAAGGCAACGACCAGCAAACUAUUUAAACAAUACCGCUUUAUAUUAAACAUUAGAUGAAAAAAGCCAAAGACACCUAUUUUAUAUCGCUGUUAUCUAUUAAAGGGUUAAUGAAGUGGAUUAACCACUGCCAAAUCUAAUUGUAUAAUAAUAAAAAAAAUGUUGCCACAAAAAUUUGUAUGUCUUUAAUGUUGGGUUCGGUUACUUAAUAUGAGUCGUAUUGUGGGGACCAAGUAACCACAGACAGAUUUGUGGUUUGGUUUGCCUUAUGUAUAGAAAUAGGUCAAUGCGUUGGUGGGAUAUUGCGUCACUCGGGUACAAUAGUUUUAAAAUGGCCAAUAUUGCUUGAAAACUAAAUAUAGCUAACUGAGCCGUUUUUUCUCCACGGGCAGCGUGUCUCUUUAUACAACAUCCAUGCGGUAAAGUCCAACCCACGUUCUAUAACGUAUUGGUCCAAUCGUUUUAAAAAUCGUCUGGAGCAGAACAGUAGGACGUUAAACCCCGUGGAUUUUCUCCGGAUCCCCUGGCUUCCUCUCACAGCCAAAGAUCUCUACUCGCAAGCUUAUUAUUGAGAUAAAAUUGAACUAUAUGUUAGUCCUGAAAUGACCUAGUUUGUGUCGAGUGGGUGUUAAACCACCAUUUUUCUCGCUCUAGACUGAAUUAGUUUCUCUGAAUUGUAAUGUAUGACUGGUUGCAUUGAUGACAGAACACAUUGACCCUUGCGUUUUGCCAAUAUGUAAAACUGGCUACUUUGACUAAAUAAUGUUAUCUUAACCAUAAUCUAUCAAAUACGUACAUUUAUAUUAAAGCUGUUUGUAACAUCUAUGCGAAAAUGCAAGCAAUUGUCCAACAUGUUAACUGUGCCUAAUCUACGAUAAAAUGUGAUCAAAGUGCGCAGAUCACUUUAACAACCCAUUGUUUAUUAUUGAAUAGAUGCUAAUAUUAAUCCCAAUGUUAAUAUUGUAUCCGCAUCUAUUAAUUGUGACUGUAUGGAUCAUAGUUUUACGAAAUGACCACUUUACCAACUUGGUCACUCAUAAAUGGUGAUUUGCGAUUGUAUUAUUCCCAGUGCAUCAUCUUAUUUCUCACUGGGAGCUCUGGUGGCUGGGUGGUUAAGACGCUGGCUCGCUAGCCUGGAGGUCGGGUGUUCGAUCCCUGCAUUGGCCGAGAAAGUUCAUCUGGAUUUUCCGACAUGGUUUCCCCCUUGUCAUUGGUACAGAACGGAGGGCCUGACAAGGACAACUGUCUAGUCCUUUGGAUGAGACGAAAAACCGAUGUCCCGUGUACACAUUGGCAUGCACGUAUUGGAAUUCGAUAUAAGAGUAGGCCAUAGCGCAACUGCCCGGUCAUAGUUGCUUUCAUAUCACAUUGAAUGGCGUAUGGCCGUUUCAUUUCAUUUCUAAAGUUAGAAAAUAGAGUAUAUAUAUAUAUAUAUAUAUAUAUAUCUCGCACGUACUUUAUCUAUUAGACGCCCCCAUCAUGCUCUAGUGACACAGAUAUAGGAAAAUACCAAGAGAAAAAAUAGAACUAUGUCAGAUCACACUGACCUUUUUGCAAUUGUAAUGGUGGUCUAGUGACACAGAUAUAGGAAAAUACCAAGAGAACAAAUAGAACUAUGUCAGAUCACACUGAUCCUUUUGCAAUUGUAAUGGUGGUCUAGUGACACAGAUAUAGGAAAAUACCAAGAGAACAAAUAGAACUAUGUCAGAUCACACUGAUCCUUUUGCAAUUGUAAUGGUGAUAAAUUUAUGAAUUUUUUCUAUUUCAUUCUUUCAAUAUUUCAUUCGUUUAGAAUUCAUUCAUUCAAUUAAACAUUUCUAUGAUUCUUUUGUUUCUGUUAAUCCCUCAUUUUUAAUUUGACGUCAGGCUAUUAAUCUAAUGACAGACGGUUGACA